rnacentral:rRNA from 1 species
AUUGAACGCUGGCGGCAGGCCUAACACAUGCAAGUCGAACGGCAGCACAGAAGAGCUUGCUCUUUGGGUGGCGAGUGGCGGACGGGUGAGUAAUGUCUGGGAAACUGCCCGAUGGAGGGGGAUAACUACUGGAAACGGUAGCUAAUACCGCAUAACGUCGCAAGACCAAAGUGGGGGACCUUCUGGCCUCACACCAUCGGAUGUGCCCAGAUGGGAUUAGCUAGUAGGUGGGGUAAUGGCUCACCUAGGCGACGAUCCCUAGCUGGUCUGAGAGGAUGACCAGCCACACUGGAACUGAGACACGGUCCAGACUCCUACGGGAGGCAGCAGUGGGGAAUAUUGCACAAUGGGCGCAAGCCUGAUGCAGCCAUGCCGCGUGUAUGAAGAAGGCCUUCGGGUUGUAAAGUACUUUCAGCGGGGAGGAAGGCGGUGAGGUUAAUAACCUUGCCGAUUGUCGUUACCCGCAGAAGAAGCACCGGCUAACUCCGUGCCAGCAGCCGCCGUAA